rnacentral:rRNA from 1 species
GAUGAACGCUGGCGGCGUGCCUAAUACAUGCAAGUAGAACGCUGAAGGAGGAGCUUGCUCUUCUGUAUGAGUUGCGAACGGGUGAGUAACGCGUAGGUAACCUUCCUGGUAGCGGGUGAUAACUAUUGGAAACGAUAGCUAAUACCGCAUGACAGCAGUUAUUGCAUGAUAACUUUUUAAAAGCAGCAACUGCUCCACUACCAGAUGGACCUGCGUUGUAUUAGCUAGUUGGUGAGGUAACGGCUCACCAAGGCGACGAUACAUAGCCGAGCUGAGAGGGUGAUCGGCCACACUGGGACUGAGACACGGCCCAGACUCCUACGGGAGGCAGCAGUAGGGAAUCUUCGGCAAUGGACGGAAGUCUGAACGAGCAACGCCGCGUGAGUGAAGAAGGUUUUCGGAUCGUAAAGCUCUGUUGUAAGAGAAGAAAGAGUGUGAGAGUGGAAAGUUCACACUGUGACGGUAGCUUACCAGAAAGGGACGGCUAACUACGUG